rnacentral:snoRNA from 18 species
CCCUAGUGUGAUGAGAAAACCUUUCGAAAAAACAGUUAUCCCUGUCUGAAUGGGCAUAAUAUCUGGUUGCACAUGUGUCGAGAGACCAUACUCUGAUUUAGAG